AUGGUCACAUGUUUCCGCCGGACCUCGGACCACAGCAGGGCAGCAUGGGUUGACAUGAGAUUGGUGAUCGAGGGCCUUGUACAAAGAUGUGUGGGCUCCGUUGUUGCCGGCCCGGUUGUUCUUGCUGUGGCUGUGAAGGAAGGCAAAACAAAACCCUUGAGCAGAUGGGUCAAUGGACAAGUGGAGACUGCUAUGUUAAGUUCAUCUAACUAUCGUUUCCAUUAUUUCUAUCUUUUUUGUUUGUGUUGCAAGUGGCAACUGCAAGUAGUAGGUGUUCUUAUGAGGGGCAAAAAGUAUGUUUAG
rnacentral:rRNA from 1 species